GUCUAAUGCUAAAGGGGGGAGAAAAAAGUAGGCUAACAGUUGGUUAAAGCAUGUGCCAGUAGCUGAACUGCUGGGGUGCCACAAAAAUAUUAAUUAAUGGCCCAGGGGAGUUCACACACACACACAACCAGCCCCUCGUUCCACAGCCUGUGCAAGUGUGUCUGCAAAAGGCAAAGCUCUGAUCCGCCCCCUUUCUAGCCAGCCUUCCCCAGCGCCAAAGAAUUCCACAUUCUCCCUGCAGCAGGUGAGAUCAGCUUUUUCAGAUUCAGAGAAAGAGGACUGCCUGCCCUCACAGGAGGUCAGUCGGGUAUCCGCACGAGGCGAUGUGCCAAGUUUACGUACAGAGAUGCAAGAGACAAACGGCUCUACCAAUGGGUCGUUGAAAGUUUUCAGAUAAAGAAAUGUGCUUGUGCUUAGUUACCAGCGCAACUGAUACCAGCGUACCGCCCUUCUCGCCCUUCUUAGAAAGCUGCCUGGGGCCUACAGAACACGGAGGGAGGUGAAGUCUGUAGGCAAGGCAGUGGCAUUUCCCAAAGGAAAAGGAAGAACAAGCUGUGGCCAUUAGGGCUCCCGACUUCCUGCCCUGAGCAUGGCUUGUCCUUCAGAAAGGAGCAAUGGCCCACCUUACAUCUUACCUGGAUGCCUUCCGCUGGGACAGAAAAGCAGAAGCAGGUAACUUCAAGCCGAGAAGCCUGAGUUCAAGGGCUGGGCCAGAUUGUCACUCCACAGCACUCGGCAGGCCUCAACUCCUGCUGGGAGUUGUGGCCCAUAAGUCUCUGGAAGGCCCAGGCUGCCCAAGACAGACCUAAUAUGUUUGCUCUACCUGCCCUGUUUCUUUCUAUGCUCUAGGCAACGUGUCCCAAUAUGCAUCCACCUCCACAGGUGGAAAGUUCUCCAAGGCACUGAGGUCAAGCGAUGGCCAGCCUUCCACGGACACAGGAAGCUACCCUGGUCUAUCUGGGGAAAAAGCAAUGCUGCCCAGGUUUGUAAAGACUGCGGAGAGAAUAAUUGGGUGCACUCUUCCCACCUUGGAUCAAAUCUAUGCUUCCAGGUGUCAUAAGAAAGCUGCAGAGAUAGUGCAGGAUAGUGCGUACCCCGGAAAUGAUGUCUUUCAGCUUCUGCCUUCUGGAGGAAGG